UACGAAGGGGACUAGCGUUGUUCGGAAUCACUGGGCGUAAAGCGCACGUAGGCGGAUAUGCCAGUCAGGGGUGAAAUCCCGGGGCUCAACCUCGGAACUGCCUUUGAUACAGCAUGUCUUGAGUCCGAUAGAGGUGGGUGGAAUUCCUAGUGUAGAGGUGAAAUUCGUAGAUAUUAGGAAGAACACCAGUGGCGAAGGCGGCCCACUGGAUCGGUACUGACGCUGAGGUGCGGAAAGCGUGGGGAGCAAACAGGG
rnacentral:rRNA from 1 species